AUGAGAAUUGUGAAGACAUAUUUGCACAAUCGUCUUGGCGAUGAUGCCUUGAAGUACAACCUUAUUUGUUAUGUGGAGAAAAGUGAAAUGAGGAAGGUUACAAAUGAUGCAGUAAUUGAUCGCUUUGAGGCCAUGAAAGAACGCAGGAAACCAUUUUCGAAAGGUAAUGGUUUUAACUUACUUAUUACACAACUGUAA
rnacentral:rRNA from 1 species